AAGUAUAUUUUCCUUUCCAGAAAAUGCCAUGCAGUCUUGGGUAUACUUCAUAUUGCAACAGAUGUGAAAGCUACGCUCUUUACCGGCUGACCGCUUAGGAACAUUGUCAGAAGGUUCACACUCCAAGAGAAUGUAUCCAAAGACUUCAGAAGAUCUCCAUUAUGACUGCCUAAGGGCUACACAGGCUUACCGACUUCGACAACUUAAAGGUCAUGGUUGUGUGCAGCCUAUGCAGUCAGCUGCCCAAGGAGACAUCCACAAUUCACCAAAAGAGUUAGAUGUGAGUUGUCAUGGAAAUGACGAGGUCAAACAGAAGUAAGAAAAGUUAAUGGAAGUCAUUCGAAAAGGCGAAUACGUACUGACUAAACCAAGGUUGGUUCAUGCUUAUCUAGAACUUCAUACAUGCAAUGGUGGAUUAUUCACUGCAUAUGAAGCAAUCCAGGUUAUGGACCAGUCAACCUGCAAAAAGAACGAAGCUUUUGGACCAUUCUGCAACGGAUCUCAAGUUACCCGAUGAUGUGCAAGGCAAGGAAACUGUAUGAAUCUGCCAUUUAUCUUGAACCUGAAAUUCUAAGAGCUGAACUGGCAAGGGGUGAUAUGCGUUUUGGUGAAUCCUGGAAUAAUCAAGAAUUUUUUCUACUUGAAAGAUAUUAGAGGCAAUAGGCAGAUGAUUCUCCACUCAUCAAGUUAGGUCACCUAUUUGCAGUAACAAAUCUGCUGUCCCAAUAUCAAUCUGCACUAAGUGCAGGUUAAGGAAUAACUGAAGACAAGAAUGCUGGCAUGAGCAACGCUUGUAGGUUUGCAAAGCUGGAGAACAACUAGAGACCCUUCACUAGUUCACUGUACGCUCUUCAUCUGCUUCGCUUCGUCAAGUCAGUUGCAUCUCAUGAAAAGGUUUAAAGUCCCACUUCACGACAGAGGAAGCCACACAACCAAGUUUCCAGGAUUCUAAAAAUAUCAGAAGAUUGACCAAUUAUAUUAGUUG